rnacentral:lncRNA from 1 species
GCAGGGCAGACAGUUCUGAUGAACGCUAACCAGUAGACGGUAACCACAGUGAUUGGCAGAGCUUGGACGCCAAGUCUAACCUGCUCUGAGCUGAUGUGCACUGUUGGCUCCUGUUGUGCUGCACAGGCCUCCGUACAAACGGAACUCAAGAGCAUACACCACUCAUCUCUGCUAGUGGAUCACCUCUGAACGCUGUCUGCGCUGGGCUGAGGAUGCUCAUUACUGAAGUUCAAGGUUCUUACUGAUGUCACUGGAAAAUUUGUCUCUGCUCUGAGAAAUCACAGGGGUUAGUCUUUGUGACUCGUGAGGUGACUACACUAACACCUGGUGUUGAUAAGAUGGCAUGAAAACAGCCAGCUCUGGAAGUCGUGCGGAGUGAUGGCUCAGAAGUGAAUAGUGCUUGCUGCUCUUUCCAAGGACCCGAGAUGGGUUACCAGCACCCAUGUUCUCCAGAUCACAGUCUUCGCUAACUCCAGCUCCAGGGCUUCUAACCCCCUCUUCUGGCCUCCAUGGUACCUUUACUCAUGUGCCUGACAUCCUCCCACACAUACUUAAUGAAAAAUUAGAAUUAAAUCUUUAAUAAUAAUAAUAAAGAGUCCCGGAAGAGUUUCACAUUCUUUUCAGUGCUACUUAUUAUAUUCUGAAGAAUUAUUUGGGGGGCUUAAUUAAAAUAACAAUGUGAGGCAGAAUCAUAACACUUUCAAAAUAUUUAUACUGAAUACGUAUCUUUUUUUAACUUAGGAAUGUGUGUGUAUCUCUCAUGUGUAUUUAG